UCGGUCCUAAACUUGCCGUUGUUUUUAAUAAAAAUUAUACAUGCAAGCUUCAACAAACCAGUGAGAAUGCCCACAAAUCCCUAGACAGAGACCAGGAGCAGGCAUCAGGAACACAACCACUUAGCCCAAAACGCCUUGCUAUGCCACACCCACAAGGGCCAUCAGCAGUAAAAAGUAUUAAGAAAUAAGCGAAAGCUUGACUUAGUUAUUAUUAAACCAGUUGGUAAAUUUCGUGCCAGCCACCGCGGUUAUACGAAAAGCUAGAAACAACGCCCCACGGCGUAAAGAGUGAUAAAAGAUUUUAACUGUUACAGGAAAACUGCAACAAAGUUGUAAAACACUACCGACUGCAAGAACAACAACAAAAACAAACCUGUAAACCACUUAAUAUCACGAGAGCUGGGAAACAAACUGGGAUUAGAUACCCCACUAUGCCCAACCGUAAACAAAAACAGCACCCGUACAAAGCUGUUCGCCAGAGGACUACCAGUACAAGACUCAAAACUCCAAGGACUUGGCGGUGCCCCAUAUCAGCCUAGAGGAGCCUGUCCUAUAAUCGAUACCCCCCGAUAUACCUCACCACCCAUUGAAACUCAGCCUAUAUACCGCCGUCGUCAGCCUACCUUGUGAAAGAAAUAAAGUAAGCAAAAUAGCCAUAAACUAGAACGUCAGGUCAAGGUGUAGCACAUGGGGUGGUAGAGAUGGGCUACACUCUCUAGCCUAGAGAAUACAGACAGCACAAUGAAACCCUGCUCAAAGGCGGAUUUAGUAGUAAGAUAAACAAGAAAGUCUAUCUUAAACCAGCCCUGGGACGCGCACACACCGCCCGUCACCCUCAUCA
rnacentral:ncRNA from 1 species